CCAGGCAAAAAAAGGAAAAGGUGCAA
rnacentral:sRNA from 1 species